rnacentral:rRNA from 1 species
UAAUUUGAGAGUUUGAUCCUGGCUCAGGACGAACGCUGGCGGCGUGCCUAAUACAUGCAAGUCGAACGAACUCUGGUAUUGAUUGGUGCUUGCAUCAUGAUUUACAUUUGAGUGAGUGGCGAACUGGUGAGUAACACGUGGGAAACCUGCCCAGAAGCGGGGGAUAACACCUGGAAACAGAUGCUAAUACCGCAUAACAACUUGGACCGCAUGGUCCGAGUUUGAAAGAUGGCUUCGGCUAUCACUUUUGGAUGGUCCCGCGGCGUAUUAGCUAGAUGGUGGGGUAACGGCUCACCAUGGCAAUGAUACGUAGCCGACCUGAGAGGGUAAUCGGCCACAUUGGGACUGAGACACGGCCCAAACUCCUACGGGAGGCAGCAGUAGGGAAUCUUCCACAAUGGACGAAAGUCUGAUGGAGCAACGCCGCGUGAGUGAAGAAGGGUUUCGGCUCGUAAAACUCUGUUGUUAAAGAAGAACAUAUCUGAGAGUAACUGUUCAGGUAUUGACGGUAUUUAACCAGAAAGCCACGGCUAACUACGUGCCAGCAGCCGCGGUAAUACGUAGGUGGCAAGCGUUGUCCGGAUUUAUUGGGCGUAAAGCGAGCGCAGGCGGUUUUUAAGUCUGAUGUGAAAGCCUUCGGCUCAACCGAAGAAGUGCAUCGGAAACUGGGAAACUUGAGUGCAGAAGAGGACAGUGGAACUCCAUGUGUAGCGGUGAAAUGCGUAGAUAUAUGGAAGAACACCAGUGGCGAAGGCGGCUGUCUGGUCUGUAACUGACGCUGAGGCUCGAAAGUAUGGGUAGCAAACAGGAUUAGAUACCCUGGUAGUCCAUACCGUAAACGAUGAAUGCUAAGUGUUGGAGGGUUUCCGCCCUUCAGUGCUGCAGCUAACGCAUUAAGCAUUCCGCCUGGGGAGUACGGCCGCAAGGCUGAAACUCAAAGGAAUUGACGGGGGCCCGCACAAGCGGUGGAGCAUGUGGUUUAAUUCGAAGCUACGCGAAGAACCUUACCAGGUCUUGACAUACUAUGCAAAUCUAAGAGAUUAGACGUUCCCUUCGGGGACAUGGAUACAGGUGGUGCAUGGUUGUCGUCAGCUCGUGUCGUGAGAUGUUGGGUUAAGUCCCGCAACGAGCGCAACCCUUAUUAUCAGUUGCCAGCAUUAAGUUGGGCACUCUGGUGAGACUGCCGGUGACAAACCGGAGGAAGGUGGGGAUGACGUCAAAUCAUCAUGCCCCUUAUGACCUGGGCUACACACGUGCUACAAUGGAUGGUACAACGAGUUGCGAACUCGCGAGAGUAAGCUAAUCUCUUAAAGCCAUUCUCAGUUCGGAUUGUAGGCUGCAACUCGCCUACAUGAAGUCGGAAUCGCUAGUAAUCGCGGAUCAGCAUGCCGCGGUGAAUACGUUCCCGGGCCUUGUACACACCGCCCGUCACACCAUGAGAGUUUGUAACACCCAAAGUCGGUGGGGUAACCUUUUAGGAACCAGCCGCCUAAGGUGGGACAGAUGAUUAGGGUGAAGUCGUAACAAGGUAGCCGUAGGAGAACCUGCGGCUGGAUCACCUCCUUU